rnacentral:rRNA from 1 species
GACGAACGCUGGCGGCGUGCUUAACACAUGCAAGUCGAACGGAAAGGCCCUGCUUUUGUGGGGUGCUCGAGUGGCGAACGGGUGAGUAACACGUGAGUAACCUGCCCUUGACUUUGGGAUAACUUCAGGAAACUGGGGCUAAUACCGGAUAGGAGCUCCUGCUGCAUGGUGGGGGUUGGAAAGUUUCGGCGGUUGGGGAUGGACUCGCGGCUUAUCAGCUUGUUGGUGGGGUAGUGGCUUACCAAGGCUUUGACGGGUAGCCGGCCUGAGAGGGUGACCGGCCACAUUGGGACUGAGAUACGGCCCAGACUCCUACGGGAGGCAGCAGUGGGGAAUAUUGCACAAUGGGCGGAAGCCUGAUGCAGCAACGCCGCGUGCGGGAUGACGGCCUUCGGGUUGUAAACCGCUUUCGCCUGUGACGAAGCGUGAGUGACGGUAAUGGGUAAAGAAGCACCGGCUAACUACGUGCCAGCAGCCGCGGUGAUACGUAGGGUGCGAGCGUUGUCCGGAUUUAUUGGGCGUAAAGGGCUUGUAGGUGGUUGAUCGCGUCGGAAGUGUAAUCUUGGGGCUUAACCCUGAGCGUGCUUUCGAUACGGGUUGACUUGAGGAAGGUAGGGGAGAAUGGAAUUCCUGGUGGAGCGGUGGAAUGCGCAGAUAUCAGGAGGAACACCAGUGGCGAAGGCGGUUCUCUGGGCCUUUCCUGACGCUGAGGAGCGAAAGCGUGGGGAGCGAACAGGCUUAGAUACCCUGGUAGUCCACGCUGUAAACGGUGGGUACUAGGUGUGGGGUCCAUUCCACGGGUUCCGUGCCGUAGCUAACGCUUUAAGUACCCCGCCUGGGGAGUACGGCCGCAAGGCUAAAACUCAAAGGAAUUGACGGGGCCCCGCACAAGCGGCGGAGCAUGCGGAUUAAUUCGAUGCAACGCGUAGAACCUUACCUGGGUUUGACAUGGAUCGGGAGCGCUCAGAGAUGGGUGUGCCUCUUUUGGGGUCGGUUCACAGGUGGUGCAUGGCUGUCGUCAGCUCGUGUCGUGAGAUGUUGGGUUAAGUCCCGCAACGAGCGCAACCCUUGUUCACUGUUGCCAGCACGUUAUGGUGGGGACUCAGUGGAGACCGCCGGGGUCAACUCGGAGGAAGGUGGGGAUGACGUCAAGUCAUCAUGCCCCUUAUGUCCAGGGCUUCACGCAUGCUACAAUGGCUGGUACAGAGAGUGGCGAGCCUGUGAGGGUGAGCGAAUCUCGGAAAGCCGGUCUCAGUUCGGAUUGGGGUCUGCAACUCGACCUCAUGAAGUCGGAGUCGCUAGUAAUCGCAGAUCAGCAACGCUGCGGUGAAUACGUUCCCGGGGCU